CUGUAAAAUUCAAAGUUCUUUGUAAUAUCCUGCCAUGGAAUGCUGUUGACCUGCAGUGAUGCUGUCCUCUCCAUUUUCUUCUCAAGAGCCACACACUUCUGACCCAAGCUGUUGACUGGGGGUCUGUCCUGCUUCACCAGUGAGCCACAUAGAAACUCUGACCCAGAACUUGUGUGGGGGACACCUGCACUAUGGAAAGAAAGAAGAGAGUCCAAAAGAACGCUCCAGACAGAAUGGUUGUUGCCUGGUACUUCUGAAGGAAUUAACAUCCGAUUGAACUCCACGUACGCAGAGAGGACAAGGCACCCAUCAAAUCAUGGUGUUGCAUCUCAACACACAGCCACAUCUCAGACAUGUACAGCAGCCUCUCUGGGGCAGGAGGGACCAGGGAACAGACCUCAGUGAUGGCUGCCUCUCCCACAAGCAGGAUGGGGUGCUCUUGCUUCUACAGCAAUACGUGGAAGGUUUUGUUUGUUUAAUUCUCCUGUGAGGCUGUUAUACGGUAUGUCCAGGAAAAUAUCUUUUUUUUUUUUCCUCUUUGGUUUGAAUCCGUUG
rnacentral:lncRNA from 1 species